rfam:Agrilus planipennis Contig59079, whole genome shotgun sequence.
AAAACGGCCCUUUUCAGAGCCAACAAUUCUAUUUAAAAAUUAAAA